GCGGCUGUCAGGGGUUCAGGAGCAGAGGCACAGGAAAGGGAGGAAAUAGAGAGCGAGGGGGAGGAGUCCGAAGGAAAUGUUAGCGAUGACAGCGGUCCGAGGUCUCUGAGUCUUUCCAGCGAAUCGGAAGAUUCACAGAAAGGGGCUCCCUUGGUCAGAGCAAGGGGGUGCCGAGGGGACACCCCAGGAAGAAGGGGCCAGAGGGGACUCAGAGAGCAGCAGUUGGAAAUCAGGACCAGCGUCCACACCAGAGUGCAGUAGGGGGGGAGGAGUCCCAGGCAUCGGGAUCAGGCGGCGCACUGCCAGUGGGAGGACAUGAGUCAGGAUUGGCCCCGCCUCCCUCGGGGUGCGAGGAAACGGUCGAGCGGCCGGUGGCACGCUGGGCGCGCGCGCCUAGUUCAACUGUACAGGAGGGCGGCGCAGUUGGCAGCCCGGAUAGGGAGCCAGGUCCCAAAGCCCGCCGAACAGAGGGGGAGGAGUCAGGGGGGUCAGCGUCAGAAGAAUCCAGGAAGGAAGGGACCCCGGGGGGUAGCAGGACCCAGAGGAGAAAGGAGAGGCGUAAGAGGUGGAGUAAGGCUAGAAUCUUAAACUGGUGUACAGGGGGCGGAGACUCAGAUGGAGCUUCGCCGAUCUAACCCCUAGACGUAGAGCUGGGGCGCUCCGGCUGAAAAUGGAAACUGUACUUCAAUAAAGACUUUUGCACAUUACUGCCGGCUAGCGUUGGUCCUCUGUGAGCUGGGACCUGGAGCCAGCUCUGACAGUAAGCUCCAUCUCAUAAAGUUUUGCACCAAAAACCUCGUAACGUGAGUGGACGCAGCGAGGAAGAAGAUUGGUGCUUCGCGAGCUCACAAAAGUCAGGCAAGAUGACUACAGAACAGCAACUAGCAGCCCUGCAAAAUGCAGUGACACAACUCAACGCGGAGGUACUCGCAUCCAGGAAAAGGGAAGAGGAAGCGGCUGCCGCCUGCAGGGAUCUCCAAGCCAGGUUGGAAGUGCUUGCUAAGCAGGGGCAACCGGGACCCAAAUCAGAGGGGAUUGGGCUGGGGAAAAGAGGAGGCAGCCUGGUAUCUCAUUUCGAUGGGAAUUUGCAGCAGUACCCUAACUUCCGAGCAGACGUGCUGUUUGCGCUGGAACUGCUGGAUAAAGACUUUAGAGAUGAGCAAGAGAAGGUGGGGUUUAUCUUGUCCCAUUUGCAUGGGGAAGCUAAAGCGUGGCUGCGCAAUCUGUGGAGAGAUAAGGAUCCGGCGCUCCAAAAUGCGGAUGCAUUCAUUAAAGCGAUGGAUUCGUGUUUUUAUCAAAUAUAGACAUUGAUAUCGCCAGAAAAGACAUACAUGGGCUCAAACAAGGCAGAGCCAGUGUAAGGCAGUACCAUUCCCGCUUUUUGCAUUAGUCCAUGCGCUGGGAUGGGAGAAGGAUUCUGCCCCAGCCAGAGACCUAGUUUGGGAAGGCUUGAAUGCAAAUGUGACAGCUGAGAUUGCAAGGGGGGAGAGACCAAAGAGCACUCAGGAGGUUGUCCGGCGGGCGCUGCAACUUGGGGUGCGUCUGGAAGAACGUCCAUGGAACAGAGAAGAAGGACGUUGGGGACGUACGCCAGUGAGAGCACCUCCCCUCUUUCCCAAGGAUACAGCGCGUGUGCAAUCCCCACCUCCGCAAGGAGGGAGAGCAACCGAUGGAGAUUGGAGGCGCCAGGGCUCAGUCAGCAACCAGAGCCUUAACACCGGGAGCAGUCAAGCGAAGCCUCCUAGAGGAACAGGAAGUGCUACAUCUGCGACAGUGCUCAGCACAUGGCGAAAGAGUGUCCCCAGAGGCUCCACAAGCACACUGCAGCCUCAGCAACAGUAACAGAAGCAACUCAGCAGAGAGAACCACAGCAGGGAACGACAGAGUCUGGUUGGAGGAAGAGGCACUGGGGCCCAGCCAGACAAGUCAAUGAAGCCGUCCCCAGAGAUUUUGCAGCCCACAGACCCCCUCCCGCCCAAACCAGUGGUGCAGCUCACAGCAUCGCUCCAACUACCCAAUGGACUCACUAUGGAAGUGCCGAUUACCAUUGACUCUGGUAGUAACGCAGACUUCAUAGGACUGGAUUUCCUUCAAGAGCACAACAUAGCACUCCUGCCAGCCACGCUGCCUCUGAAAGUUGUCACGGUGGAUGGCAGGGAAUUGCUGGGGGCAGGUGGUGCAGCAAACGCCUCCGAUGGUGAUGCAAAUUGGGAAUCACCGAGAAGUCAUCAGCUUCAAUGUCACCCAACUGUCGGACACGCCUAUAGUAUUAGGCAUGAGUUGGCUGCACAGGCACAGCCCAGCAUUGGCGUGGUACCAGCGACAACUGACCUUCGGCUCCUCAUACUGUGCGGAACAUUGCAUUCUGCCUAGCCCGGAGGGGAAGAGGAUGACCCGCAGCUACAAUUAGGCACGCUGCAAGCAGUGCCACUCAAAUGCGCAGCGUUUUGGAGGUUUUCUGCGAGAAGGAAGCGGACAAGCUACCUCCCACAGGUCUUAUGACUGCAAGAUUGACCUCCUGCCAGGGCGCGCUGCCAACCGGGAAACUGUAUUCCAUGUCCGAAGGCAGAGCUGCAGGAACUCAGGGAGUUCAUAGACCACACCUUGACGCGCGGUUUCAUCCGGGAGUCGAAGGCAGUGGGGGGGCAGUCCUGUAUUCUUUGUGAAGAAGAAGGACACGCCCCAAAAAAGGCUUGUGGUGGACUAUAGAAUUUUGAACUCAAAAACCAAGCCCACAGCCUUUCCCAUGCCCAAGAUAGAUGACCUGCUCGCAACGGUGAGGAAAGGACGCGUUUUCACAAAGUUGGAUCUGCUUGGCGUACAGCCAGAUUCGCAGACGGGAGGGCGGCGAAUGGAAGACUGCCAUGUUCACGCCCCUGGGCACCUAUGAAUACAGAGUUAUGCCCUUUGGAUUACAAAAUGGCUCCCACUGUUUUCAAGCCUUCAUGCAUCACGUAUUGGCGGGUCUCCUCUACAAGAAAUGCGUCUGCUUCCUGGACGACAUCCUGAUAUUUUCAGAAUCAGAGGAGGCCCACGAGGGAGACGUCAAGGAAGUUCUGCAGAGACUGCAGGAGCACAGGCUGUACGCCAAGCUGGAAAAGUGCCAGUUCGACAUGAAGGAAGUAGAUUUCCUGGGCUACAAGUUGUCGGACAAGGGGCUCGCCAUGGACAGCGCCAAGGUUCGCUCAGUGUUGGACUGGAAGAGCCCGCGCAAUCGGAAGGAGGUCCAACGGUUUGUCGGUUUCGCCAACUUUUACACGCAAGUUCAUCAAGGGGUUCGCGAUGCAGGCGGCAGCCAUUACCGACACACUCAGCUCCAAGAAGAAGAAGUUCAUCUGGACCGAGACAGCGGAACAGUCCUUCCAGAAACUCAAGCGUCUCUUCUCGUCCGAAGAGCAGCUACUGCAUGUGAAUCCCAGCAGACCGAUGAGGGUUGAAACGGACGCCUCAGACAGAGCCGUGGGAGCAGUACUGUUGCAGCAAGACCCGCAUGGGGACUGGAGACCGUGUGCCUUCUACUCCAGGAAGCUCAGCAAGUCAGAGCAGAACUACACCAUCUGGGACAGGGAGUUGCUGGCCAUUCAUGCAGCAUUCAAGGCGUGGCGGCACUUCCUCAUUGGAGCCAAACACACAGUGCAGGUCCGCACGGACCAUAAAAACCUGGAGUACUGGCGCACGGCAAGGUUCCUGAACCAGAGGCACAUACGAUGGGCGGAGUUCUUUGCGGAUUUCGACUUCAGGAUAGAGUACAUCCCAGGCGACAACAACAUCAUGGCGGAUGCACUGUCCAGAAAGCCGCAAUACCUCGAGAGCGGCACCAGCAGCGGCCAAGCACAUUUCGCACCGAGCGUGGGCGUGCGCUUCAGCAACCGUGGACCUGGAUGCUGUACGUCGAGCACUGCAGGAGGACCCCUUCGCGCAAGCAAAGAUGGCAGAGGUGCAAAGGGGCACGGCGGAGGACGGCGAGUUCCAGAUGCGCGACGGAUUGCUCAUCCGCAGAGGGCCCUCUACGUGCCGGGAGACGACCUCCGCGAAAGUACUGCAGCAGUUGCACGACGCACCCACCGCCGGGCACUUUGGCAAGAGAAGACGGUAGAAUUAGUAGCCAGAGAUUUUGGUGGCCCAAGAUGCGGGGAAGUCGCGGAUUACGUCUCGAGGUGCGACACCUGCCAAAGGGCCAAGUCAGUGCACAAACCGCCGGCGGGACUGCUCGAACCGCUGCAGACACCGAUCGAACCGUGGGAGAGGGUGGCCCUGGACUUUGUCACGGAUCUACCCAGCUCGAGGGCAAGGCGGCAGUGCUAGUGGUGGUGGACAUGUUCACCAAAAUGGCCCACUUCAUUCCGUGCGCGAAGGUGGCCACGGCGGAACAGACCGCCAAACUGUUCAUAGACCACGUGUUCAGGGUUCCACGGUCUGCCACGGUCUAUCCUGUCCGACCGGGGCGACAGUUCAUCUCGAACUUCUGGCAGAAGCUGAUGGGUUUCCUGAACGUCAAGAUCAACCUAGCGUCGGCGAGACACCCGCAGGCGAACGGACAAGCGGAGCGAGUCAGCGCCAUCAUGCAGCAGUACCUGCGAUGCUACGCAAAUCAGCAGCCGGCAACAUGGGUGGACUACCUGCCGCUCGCUGAGUUCGCCUACAACAACACGAAGCACGUGUCCACGGGGGUGACACCGUUCUUCGCCAACAACGGGAGGCAUCCCAGAACCUCCCGGGAUUAGCGAGAGAGGGGGAGGGAGCCACAGGCAGCGGAAGCCUUAGCAUCAGAGUUGCAGGAGGUUCACGAACAGCCGGAGGCAGUUAGAACUAGCAAAGCACGCAUACAAACUGCAGGCUGACAAGCACAGAAGGGUUGGGGAAGACAUACAGGUGGGAGACUGGGUUUGGUUAGCAGCCCAGGCAGUGCCGGCCAGAUCGUUAGCGAAGAAGAAGCUAGGGCAUAAGCAGCUAGGACCCUACCAGGUCGAGGCACAGGUCAAUCCAGUGGCCUUCCGGUUGACACUGCCGGAGGGAUCCAGAAUGCACCCAGUUUUCCAUAGAUCAGUGCUCACGCCCUACAAAGCACCUCAUAGAUUUCAGGAGCCAGGAACGGCACCAGACCCGUUCAGGUAAACGCCCACAAGGGGGGGGGUCGCCAAGGCGGGAACCCGUCAACGAAGUCACAGAGAUUUUAGACUCGAGAUGGGGGAGGAGGAGUGGAAUACCUCCUCGCCAAGGAAGGUACCCCGGCUAGCGCCAACAGUUGGGUGCCAGAUUAUGCUCUGGAGGAAUCUUGGCUUAGGACGAGUUCCAUGCCCUUUUCCCACACAGGCCCAUGCCAGCCGAGUAUUUCGACGACUGGCUUUUCACACCCACAUUUUCAGCUAGCACAUUCCAGGGGUUCACCUCGGACGAGGAACCGGCACUAGAAACACGUUCCCCGGAGGGAUCACCCUCGGGGUCUGCCUCAGACCGUUCCUAUUGGUGGGACAAUCAACCAGAGGAGCAGUGGCGCAGGAAGUGGUUGGGGGGGUCCUUGGCAGGCAACGUCCCCGGAGGAGACCGGGGGAGAGACGGACAUGGACGUGUUGGGGGAGGACCUUGGGUUCGAGCACGGCGGCAAAGAGAUGGAAGCAGAGGACAUUGAGGUCGGCGAGGCACGGAGGGCGAGCCGGACUUAUCCGGCUGGAUGCACGCCACGGGGGACGAGACUGUAUCCGGCACUCACCCCCACAACGACGGAGCCCCCAGUACCCACACCUGAAGGAGGGGAGGGGAAGGGGGGCUUCGAGGGGAUGGAUGUCAGGGGUUCAGGAGCAGAGGCACAGGAAAGGGAGGAAAUAGAGAGCGAGGGGAGGAGUCCGAAGGAAAUGUUAGCGAUGACAGCGGUCCGAGGUCUCUGAGUCUUUCCAGCGAAUCGGAAGAUUCACAGAAAGGGGCUCCCUUGGUCAGAGCAAGGGGGUGCCGAGGGGACACCCCAGGAAGAAGGGGCCAGAGGGGACUCAGAGAGCAGCAGUUGGAAAUCAGGACCAGCGUCCACACCAGAGUGCAGUAGGGGAGGAGUCCCAGGCAUCGGGAUCAGGCGGCGCACUGCCAGUGGGAGGACAUGAGUCAGGAUUGGCCACGCCUCCAUCGGGG
rnacentral:lncRNA from 1 species